rnacentral:rRNA from 1 species
GAUGAACGCUGGCGGCGUGCCUAAUACAUGCAAGUCGAGCGAACAGACGAGGAGCUUGCUCCUCUGACGUUAGCGGCGGACGGGUGAGUAACACGUGGAUAACCUACCUAUAAGACUGGGAUAACUUCGGGAAACCGGAGCUAAUACCGGAUAAUAUAUUGAACCGCAUGGUUCAAUAGUGAAAGACGGUUUUGCUGUCACUUAUAGAUGGAUCCGCGCCGCAUUAGCUAGUUGGUAAGGUAACGGCUUACCAAGGCGGCGAUGCGUAGCCGACCUGAGAGGGUGAUCGGCCACACUGGAACUGAGACACGGUCCAGACUCCUACGGGAGGCAGCAGUAGGGAAUCUUCCGCAAUGGGCGAAAGCCUGACGGAGCAACGCCGCGUGAGUGAUGAAGGUCUUCGGAUCGUAAAACUCUGUUAUUAGGGAAGAACAAAUGUGUAAGUAACUAUGCACGUCUUGACGGUACCUAAUCAGAAAGCCACGGCUAACUACGU